rnacentral:rRNA from 1 species
GACGAACGCUGGCGGCGUGCUUAACACAUGCAAGUCGAACGGAAAGGCCCUGCUUUUGUGGGGUGCUCGAGUGGCGAACGGGUGAGUAACACGUGAGUAACCUGCCCUUGACUUUGGGAUAACUUCAGGAAACUGGGGCUAAUACCGGAUAGGAGCUCCUGCUGCAUGGUGGUGGUUGGAAAGUUUCGGCGGUUGGGGAUGGACUCGCGGCUUAUCAGCUUGUUGGUGGGGUAGUGGCUUACCAAGGCUUUGACGGGUAGCCGGCAUGAGAGGGUGACCGGCCACAUUGGGACUGAGAUACGGCCCAGACUCCUACGGGAGGCAGCAGUGGGGAAUAUUGCACAAUGGGCGGAAGCCUGAUGCAGAAACGCCGCGUGCGGGAUGACGGCCUUCGGGUUGUAAACCGCUUUCGCCUGUGACGAAGCGUGAGUGACGGUAAUGGGUAAAGAAGCACCGGCUAACUACGUG